GGGAAAGGUGAAAAGAACCCCGGGAGGGGAGUGAAAUAGAACCUGAAACCGUAUGUCUACAAUACGUGGAAGAGCUAUGGAGAAGACCUAGUCUCCUCCAGCUCGACUGCGUGCCUUUUGGAGAAUGAGCCGGCGAGUUACGGUGGCUGGCCAGGUUAAGUGCUUGAGGCACGGAGCCGUAGGGAAACCGAGUCCGAAUAGGGCGAUUAGUCAGUCAUCGUAGACCCGAAGCCAGGUGAUCUACCCAUGGCCAGGGUGAAGUGGGGAUAAAACCCCAUGGAGGCCCGAACUGAUGUAGGUUUAAAACUGCUCGGAUGAGCUGUGGGUAGGGGUGAAAGGCCAAUCAAACCUGGAGAUAGCUGGUUCUCCCCGAAAUAGCUUUAGGGCUAGCCUCCGGUAGGAGGAGAGGGGGUAGAGCACUGAAUGGGCUAGGGGGCUAACCCGCCUACCAAACCCAAUCAAACUCCGAAUACCUCUCCUUAAUGCCGGGGAGUCAGACUGCGGGGGAUAAGCCUCGUGGUCAAAAGGGAAACAGCCCAGACCGUCAGCUAAGGCCCCCAAACGUGGGCUAAGUGGUAAAGGUGGUGACCUUGCUGGAACAGCCAGGAGGUUGGCUUAGAAGCAGCCAUCCUUUAAAAAGUGCGUAAUAGCUUACUGGUCUAGCGAUGUUGCGCCGAAAAAUUUUCGGGGCUUAAGUCCACUGCCGAAGCUGCGGAUUCUAGAAUUUAGUUUCUAUCUUCUAGGAUGGUAGGGGAGCGUUGGGUAAGCCGUUGAAGCGGGACAGUGAUGACCCGUGGAGGUAUCCCAAGUGAGAAUGCCGGCAUGAGUAGCGAUAAAGAGGGUGAGAAUCCCUCUCGCCGUAAGCCUAAGGUUUCCUGAGGAAGGCUCGUCCUCUCAGGGUUAGUCGGAUCCUAAGCCGAGGCGGAAACGCGUAGGUGAUGGGCAGCUGGUUGAUAUUCCAGCACUAUCAGUUUUCUGUUAUUCCGAUGGGGUGACGCAGGAGGGUAGGCCAUCCGCCUGGAGGAAUAGGCGGUCUAAGCCCGUAGGUGGAGAGAAGGUAAUCCUUUCUCUCAUUAACACCGAGAGGUGAUGGGGAGCUCCUACGGGAGCGAACUGGUUGAUCCCCCACUGCCUAGAAAAGCCUCUAAGGAGGAAGACUGGUAUCCGUACCGCAAACCGACACAGGUAGGCAGGAUGAAUAUUCUAAGGCGCGCGAGUGAUCCCCCGUUAAGGAACUAGGCAAUUUAACCCUGUAACUUCGGAAGAAGGGGUGCCUUUCUCCGUAAAUAGAUUUCUCUAGGAGCGGAGAGAGGUCGCAGAGAAAUGGCUCUAGCGACUGUUUAUUAAAAACACAGGACUCUGCUAAGCCGUAAGGCGAUGUAUAGGGUCUGACGCCUGCCCAGUGCUGGAAGGUUAAGGGGAGGGGUUAGCGAAAGCGAAGCUCCGAACUGAAGCCCCAGUAAACGGCGGCCGUAACUAUAACGGUCCUAAGGUAGCGAAAUUCCUUGUCGGGUAAGUUCCGACCCGCAUGAAAGGCGCAACGACUGGAGCGCUGUCUCAACGGGGAGCUCGGCGAAGUUUCAAUACCAGUGCAGAUGCUGGUUACCCGCGACUAGACGGGAAGACCCCGUGAACCUUUACUGUAUCCUGAUAUUGGAUCCGGGUACAUCUUGUGUAGGAUAGGUGGGAGGCAGAGAAGUCACCGCGUCAGCGGUGAUGGAGCCAACCUUGAAAUACCACCCUUGAUGUAUUCAGAUUCUAACCUGCAGAAGUUAUCCUUCUGAGGAACAGUGUCAGGGGGGCAGUUUGACUGGGGCGGUCGCCUCCUAAACAGUAACGGAGGCGCCCUAAGGUUCCCUCAGCACGUUUGGAAAUCGUGCGUGGAGUGUAAAGGCAUAAGGGAGCUUGACUGCGAGAGGGACACCUCAAGCAGAGACGAAAGUCGGGCUUAGUGAUCCGGUGGUGCAGUAUGGAAUGGCCAUCGCUCAACGGAUAAAAGGUACUCUGGGGAUAACAGGCUGGUCUCUCCCAAGAGUCCAUAUCGACGGAGAGGCUCGGCACCUCGAUGUCGGCUCGUCGCAUCCUGGGGCUGAAGUAGGUCCCAAGGGUUG
rnacentral:rRNA from 1 species